UCGAAAUCGUUAGUAAAUUUCAUUUGUUAGGUUGGUGGUAGUGUGUUACAAGUGUCACUGCGAAUGCGAAAUGUCAUUUUGAAGAUGAACAUGUCAAUAACGAAAGGUGCAAGUCGGUUUCUUCGCAAAUUGGUUAUGAGACCAGUUUUCGAAAAUAUUCUUUCUGACGGUACGGAAGUGGCUGGUGCACAAAGAUAUUUUUCAUGGAGCUUGAAUAAUUCGGGAAACAAAUUUUUAUUGUCCAUCCAAAAGCUCAAAGGAUUGCAUGUUCGGGCUAUGUUUGGCAUUGAUAAAUAUUGCUUUAUCAUUACAAUAGCUUUUGCUUUUGGUGAAACAGCUAAUACAUUUGUGGAUCGGGCAAUUUUGUCAUCAAGGUAAUUCCAUAACAUAUCAACAUUAACAGAAGAGUCAUCAGGCUUGUUUUUGGUCUCUGGCACAGGUGGGGAAGCGGAAAGUGAACCAGCAAUGAGAUUCUCAAGUUCUUCUAAAAUCCAUUUCUCUGCGUUUUCUGCAUUUUCUUGGGUUCCAAAUCCAAUUUUUUUAUAACGAGGAUCCAAGAAAGUGGCUUCUGCCGAUAUUUUGUCUUUCUCAUAAUUUCCCAGACGUCGAGAAAGCACAGAAAGCAUGUCAGUUUUUAAUUCCAUGCCGACAGUUGUUUUGCAAUCUAUUAAAUUAAUGGAAUGCUGAACUCCUUGCACAAGUGGAAUUAUUGAUGACAAUGAUCUGUAUAGAGUCUUCCACUAUUAGCCAUUCACCUGCAUUAAGCAUCAUGACUUAUAUGUACCCAUCAAAGCACCAUGUUCUCCGGAAAAGAUGAUGAAAAUAUGGUGGAAAACAACGCACGCUUUGGAAUAUUUUUCAUGUUUUUCUUGGUGAAGAAGUUAAAAAUUUUAUCAUUUUUUUUAACAAAUUUUACAUUUUAUUUUUAUGGGUGUCUGUCAGUUGUAUCACUUUAUGCAAUAAAAUGCCACCGAUGUGAAGAAAUGUUAAA